rnacentral:rRNA from 1 species
GAUGAACGCUGGCGGCGUGCCUAAUACAUGCGAGUCGAGCGAACGGACGAGAAGCUUGCUUCUCUGAUGUUAGCGGCGGACGGGUGAGUAACACGUGGAUAACCUACCUAUAAGACUGGGAUAACUUCGGGAAACCGGAGCUAAUACCGGAUAAUAUUUUGAACCGCAUGGUUCAAAAGUGAAAGACGGUCUUGCUGUCACUUAUAGAUGGAUCCGCGCUGCAUUAGCUAGUUGGUAAGGUAACGGCUUACCAAGGCAACGAUGCAUAGCCGACCUGAGAGGGUGAUCGGCCACACUGGAGCUGAGACACGGUCCAGACUCCUACGGGAGGCAGCAGUAGGGAAUCUUCCGCAAUGGGCGAAAGCCUGACGGAGCAACGCCGCGUGAGUGAUGAAGGUCUUCGGAUCGUAAAACUCUGUUAUUAGGGAAGAACAUAUGUGUAAGUAACUGUGCACAUCUUGACGGUACCUAAUCAGAAAGCCACGGCUAACUACGUG